rnacentral:rRNA from 1 species
GAUGAACGCUGGCGGCGUGCCUAAUACAUGCAAGUCGAGCGAACAGACGAGGGGCUUGCUCCUCUGACGUUAGCGGCGGACGGGUGAGUAACACGUGGAUAACCUACCUAUAAGACUGGGAUAACUUCGGGAAACCGGAGCUAAUACCGGAUAAUAUAUUGAACCGCAUGGUUCAAUAGUGAAAGACGGUUUUGCUGUCACUUAUAGAUGGAUCCGCGCCGCAUUAGCUAGUUGGUAAGGUAACGGCUUACCAAGGCAACGAUGCGUAGCCGACCUGAGAGGGUGAUCGGCCACACUGGAACUGAGACACGGUCCAGACUCCUACGGGAGGCAGCAGUAGGGAAUCUUCCGCAAUGGGCGAAAGCCUGACGGAGCAACGCCGCGUGAGUGAUGAAGGUCUUCGGAUCGUAAAACUCUGUUAUUAGGGAAGAACAAGUGUGUAAGUAACUAUGCACGUCUUGACGGUACCUAAUCAGAAAGCCACGGCUAACUACGUG